rnacentral:tRNA from 1 species
GGACCUUUAGCUCAGUUGGUUAGAGCAGACGGCUCAUAACCGUCCGGUCGUUGGCUCGAGUCCAACAAGGUCCA